rnacentral:rRNA from 1 species
UACAGAGGGUGCGAGCGUUAAUCGGAAUUACUGGGCGUAAAGCGUGCGUAGACGGUUAUUUAAGUCGGGUGUGAAAGCCCCGGGCUCAACCUGGGAAUUGCAUUUGAGACUGCAUAGCUAGGGUGCGGAAGAGGGAAGCGGAAUUUCCGGUGUAGCGGUGAAAUGCGUAGAUAUCGGAAGGAACACCAGUGGCGAAAGCGGCUUCCUGGUCCAGCACCGACGUUCAGGCACGAAAGCGUGGGGAGCAAACAGG